rnacentral:rRNA from 1 species
GAUGAACGCUGGCGGCGUGCUUAACACAUGCAAGUCGAGCGAGAAGUUUUGAAAAGAUUCUUCGGAUGAAAUUUAAAAUGGAAAGCGGCGGACGGGUGAGUAACGCGUAGGCAACCUGCCCCAUACAAAGGGAUAGCAUUUGGAAACGAAUAUUAAUACCUUAUGAAACUUAACUAGUGCAUGCUAGGUAGGUCAAAGAUUUAUCGGUAUGGGAUGGGCCUGCGUCUGAUUAGCUAGUUGGUGAGGUAACGGCUCACCAAGGCGACGAUCAGUAGCCGACCUGAGAGGGUGAACGGCCACAUUGGAACUGAGACACGGUCCAAAAUCCUACGGGAGGCAGCAGUGGGGAAUAUUGCACAAUGGGGGAAACCCUGAUGCAGCAACGCCGCGUGAACGAUGAAGGCCUUUGGGUCGUAAAGUUCUGUUCUAGGUGAUGAAAACUGACAGUAACCUAGGAGAAAGCCCCGGCUAACUCCGUG